GUAGGGGAGGAUCAUUA
rnacentral:rRNA from 1 species